CUCGUGGCCUGGGGGUCACGUGACCUCGAGGGGGGGGGGCGGAAAAAAGUUUCCGCUAAAGUUAGCGGGGAAAAUUUUCCGCUAGAUUUAGCGGGGGAAAUUUUCCGCUAGAUUCAGCGGGAAAAAUUUUCCGCAAGAUUUAGCGGAGAAAAGUUUCCGCUAAAUUUAGCGGGGAAAAUUUUCCGCUAAUUUUAGCGGGGAAAAGUUUCCGCUAGAUUUAGCGGGGAACAUUUUCCGCUAAAUUUAGCGGGGAAACUUUUCCGCU
rnacentral:SRP_RNA from 1 species